rnacentral:rRNA from 1 species
UCCCGAUGCUAUUUCUAGAGAUAGAAAGUUACUUCGGUACAUCGGUUGACAGGUGGUGCAUGGUUGUCGUCAGCUCGUGUCGUGAGAUGUUGGGUUAAGUCCCGCAACGAGCGCAACCCCUAUUGUUAGUUGCCAUCAUUUCAGUUUGGGCACUCUAGCGAGACUGCCGGUAAUAAACCGGAGGAAGGUGGGAUGACGUCAAAUCAUCAUGCCCCUUAUGACCUGGGCUACACACGUGCUACAAUGGUUGGUACAACGAGUUGCGAGUCGGUGACGGCGAGCUAAUCUCUUAAAGCCAAUCUCAGUUCGGAUUGUAGGCUGCAACUCGCCUACAUGAAGUCGGAAUCGCUAGUAAUCGCGGAUCAGCACGCCCGCGGUCGAAUACGUUCCGGGCCUU